AGUGAACGCUGGCGGUAGGCCUAACACAUGCAAGUCGAACGGCAGCACAGUAAGAGCUUGCUCUUACGGGUGGCGAGUGGCGGACGGGUGAGGAAUACAUCGGAAUCUACUUUUUCGUGGGGGAUAACGUAGGGAAACUUACGCUAAUACCGCAUACGACCUACGGGUGAAAGCAGGGGAUCUUCGGACCUUGCGCGAUUGAAUGAGCCGAUGUCGGAUUAGCUAGUUGGCGGGGUAAAGGCCCACCAAGGCGACGAUCCGUAGCUGGUCUGAGAGGAUGAGCAGCCACACUGGAACUGAGACACGGUCCAGACUCCUACUGGAGGCAGCAGUGGGGAAUAUUGGACAAUGGGCGCAAGCCUGAUCCAGCCAUACCGCGUGGGUGAAGAAGGCCUUCGGGUUGUAAAGCCCUUUUGUUGGGAAAGAAAAGCAGCAGGUUAAUACCCCGCUGUUCUGACGGUACCCAAAGAAUAAGCACCGGCUAACUUCGUG
rnacentral:rRNA from 1 species